rnacentral:misc_RNA from 1 species
GAUGAAGAACGCAGCGAACUGCGAUAAGUAAUGUGAAUUGCAGAAUUCAGUGAAUCAUCGAGUCUUUGAACGCACAUUGCGCCCUCUGGUAUUCCGGAGGGCAUGCCUGUUCGAGCGUCAUUAUCACCCCUCAAGCCCGGCUUGUUGUUGGAUGCAGCGCUUAUCCCGCUCCUCCCAAAGAUAAUGACGGCGUCUGCGACGACUCCUGUACACUGAGCUUUCGGGCACGUACACGGCUAGAAGUCCAGACCCGGUCGCCGUCCCCCCGCGGGGACACCCAUUACCACAAGGUUGACCUCGGAUCAGGUAGGAAUACCCGCUGAACUUAAGCAUAUCAAUAAGCGGAGGA